GACGAAGGAUGCAAGCGUUAUCCGGAUUCAUUGGGUUUAAAGGGUGCGUAGGCGGACUUGUAAGUCAGUGGUGAAAUCUCUCAGCUUAACUGAGUAACUGCCAUUGAUACUGCAGGUCUAGAGUAUAGAUGACGUUGGCGGAAUAUGACAUGUAGUGGUGAAAUACUUAGAUAUGUCAUAGAACACCGAUUGCGAAGGCAGCUAACGAAACUAUAACUGACGCUGAGGCACGAAAGUGCGGGGAUCAAACAGG
rnacentral:rRNA from 1 species